UUUAUCCAGAGAAGCGGAGGGACCAGGCCCUGUGAAGCUUCAGCAGCGGACUCGGUCGAGUACUGUGCUAAAUCCUGCAGGCUGUGGCCUGGCAGAUA
rnacentral:ncRNA from 1 species